UGCAGAAGAAGAUGAGGAGCUCCCCAGCAGGAAGCCACAAACCCGGCAGAAACCUGCAGGAGAAUCGCAGCAUGGUUCCUGUCCCAAGGGAGAUUUGUGGAUCAAGGUGGUCUUAGGAAGAGGGAAGCCAGCUCCUUCCAAGGGCUGGGGAAGUUCCUGUGCACAGAGGCCUGGGAACUUCAGCUUCCUCUGAGCCUUCAGCGGCCAUGUCUCAACAAGGAGACGACCGUGGUUCCAAUUGCUGCCGUGUGAGUGGCAAGAAGCGGCGCGGCGCAGUUCCCCGCGGUUGGGAGCAGCAGCCAGCAGGCUGCCAGAGAUCCAACCGCGCCUUGCAGCGCACAGAGGGACGCGACAGGGACGGACCGUCCUUCCUGCCAUGCAAAAGGACAGAGCCUGCGCGUCCAUGGAGUGGUGCUGGGUAUGGGGGGAAACGGAAAGCCUGCGCAGAAGCUGACACGAGCGGCCUUCCAGCAAAGCGCAGCCUUGCAGAAAGGCAAGGCAGAAGCGCCCAGUGUGGCACAGCACCGAAGAGAGAGAUUGGUGCUGAGGCAAAUGGCAGUAUCUAUGUGAAAGUGGUGCUGCAGGUCCAUUCUGAGAGAUCUUGUCAACAAGCAGCAGCUCAAGCUCCUCACCAGGCUGGAGGGCUUCCUAGAAGAGCAGGUCCCAGCACAGGGGG
ensembl:lncRNA